rnacentral:tmRNA from 1 species
GUAAUGGUUUCGACAGGGAUCCUGCAGGUGGAGAAGCUAUCCGACGCCGAUCGUCAAACGGCAAACCUAAAUAUAAACGCUAACAAUAAUAGAUUAGCUCUGGCUGCCUGAUCGCAGUCAGUGUCGCCGGACUUGCACCCGCGCUCGUCCGAUACGGCAUCAUCAUCGCGGGAAACGACACGGGGAGUGCUUUGGCCCCGCGGGCGUAUCAGAAGCUACUGACGCAGGAGGAGUGUCUGCCCUGCUCCUGCACGAGGGAAACGGCUUAGCCAGAAUGAACAGACUAUGAUAGUAGAAGCACAUUGAAUGGGUUUUUGGACACGGGUUCGACUCCCGUCUGGUCCAC